rnacentral:rRNA from 1 species
AUUGAACGCUGGCGGCAGGCCUAACACAUGCAAGUCGAACGAGUGGCGGACGGGUGAGUAAUGUAUGGGAAACUGCCUGAUGGCGGGGGAUAACUACUGGAAACGGUAGCUAAUACCGCAUACCAUCAGAUGUGCCCAGAUGGGAUUAGCUAGUGGGUGGGGUAAAGGCUCACCAAGGCGACGAUCCGUAGCUGGUCUGAGAGGAUGACCAGCCACACUGGAACUGAGACACGGUCCAGACUCCUACGGGAGGCAGCAGUGGGGAAUAUUGGACAAUGGGCGAAAGCCUGAUGCAGCCAUGCCGCGUGUAUGAAGAAGGCCUUCGGGUUGUAAAGUACUUUCAGCGGGGAGGCGUUACCCGCAGAAGAAGCACCGGCUAACUCCGUGCCAGCAGCCGCGGUAAUAC